CUCGACGCCUGAAAGUUUUCUUCUCUUCGGGAGCCUGGAGUUCCGUCGUCUUGCCUUGCCCUCCUCGCCUUCUUCCUCUUCAAACAAAGCCUCGCCACUGGGAGGCUGGCCAGCAGUGCAGCCAGAUCCAUCCCCAUCCCGCCCACUGAUUAGAGGUCAACCACCGUGCCACACGCCCACACCACUCCUCCCUCCACGCCCCGUCCCACCCCCUUCCCACCCCUUCGACCAGGCCACUAAAGGAACGACUCCUUCCACAGCACCUCGCCGGAUCAGGUGGCGCAACGACGGUGACCAGGCCCAACAAGCGAACUGCCAUGGAGAGUGCCUUUAAUCCGUGCUCCACAAGGUCGCUGGCCUCCUUGCCUCGGCCAUCCUCGAACUACAAUGGCGAGUGCCUCUAGCUCGUGUGUGGAUGCCUCAGUUGUGCAGUUUUGGAGGGUCAUGUAUUUAAAUUCUCGUACUCUUCAUCGCGAUAGAGGAUGCAGUCAUUAGGUAUGUAUGUAUCUUCUGCACCUCUAAUCCUAGAUGACAGAGAACCUUCUUUUCUUCGUACUUACUGAUAUGCAA